GUCUGGAUCACUUCCUCUUCUGGAUUCUGAACCUCGUUCCCAGGCUGAGAAGUGGUACUUCGGUAAAGUUAGAAAGAUAUUCACAGUUUCGGCUUUUCCGGAUCAAUAACUCAUCAGCGGAACAUUGCCUCUAGAAAACCAACACCUCUCUGCAACCACAGCAAGGCAGACAGUGAGCUACAAUCAUCUUUUCUUCAAAACGAGACUUGCAUUGGCCUCUAUGCAGAGAUCGCUGCUCCUCUAAUGCGCAGAGACCGUCUGCAAAUUGCAACUCCAGAAAAUAUAUGAUGGAGAAAUAUUCAAUAAAGUCGCCAAGGAGAGGUGUAUUGUCAUUGAAAUCAUUGUAUGUGAUCUGACGUUUUUCAUUCUACAUUUCUUGGAUUGGAAAUUAAUACAAAAAAAAAAAAGGAAUUUCCCAAAGACACCUAAAUAGCCAAAUAUUCAGUAAAACAUGGUCAAUAACUUCACUUUAGCAUGUUGUAGUGCCAUCAAACUCAUAGCACACAGGGAGAGCAUCAUCUUGAAUCUUUUUAAUAAACAUAACAUUGCCUUUAUAUAUGCAGACAUGCUCUUUUAAUAAAUCUGUAUUACAACCAAAUAAUUAACUUUCCCUUUACUGUUUGCAGUGUGUCAUAACCUGAAAUCACUCAACAUUACAUCUUUGAGUUUUAACAAAUUUUAUUUCCCACACUAUCAAGCAUAAAUAAUUCAGUAUUUGGUUACAGUCAGCAAACGUUACCAAGAGACUCUCUAGUUAUUGCACAACACACAGUACCAAGGGGUGUCAUGUCAAUGCAUUCAGUGUGGAACCAUCGCUCACAGGUUUCACACUGUAUCUACAACA